AUGUACUGGGGACACCAGCGCCAGGACACGGCUCUGGCCCCGCUCCCCUCCUGCAGACAGGACGGUGAAAGCCUGGAGGGGGCCAGGACGGGGCCACGGCCAGGCUCACAAGCCAAGAAAAUGCCUCACGGCCGGAGAGCUCGAUGGGUUUGGCUUAUUGGAAAAAAAUGGCUGAGAGAUGAUUUGAUUACAGUGAGCAAGUGCCUUUGUGGGCAGAAAGCGACGGGCAGCGCCGAAAGCCUCUGCCGGGCAGAGGGACACAGAGCAGACACCAGAGCAGGGGCUGGGAGCCGGAGCCGGGUGAUGGGACCUGGGGACUGGGCACGAGUCUGUAACUGGGAAGGGUGGCGAGCCGCAGAACGAGCCCAGCAGGAGCGGCGCUUCCCGUGCCCUGCGGUGCAGGAGCUGGCCCAGCGCGCCCCAAGGUCUCCUGUCCUCGCGCUGUGCGGGUGGCACUGGCGAAGACCAGCCCCUGGCGUCAAGGAACAGCAGGUCCAUGCACCGAAGCAGAGGGGACGGCAUCUCUGUACCUACGGAGCUGCCACGGGGCAGGGCAGGGGGGCACCUGGCACAUGCGUGUGCACCAGGAGUGUGCCCACCCUGCCACCCAGCUCCGGCACUUGCUGCUGGUGCCGGCGGGUCCGGCCUCCUGCAGCACCGCGGGCAGCAGGGCGCGGGCAGAGCGCGUGGGCCGGCACGGGCAGGGAUGCAGAUGCACAUCCUAAAAAUACCCGCACGAGACCCAGCACCUGGAGGUCCCCAAGCGGCCGCCCGCGACGGCUGGGGCCGGCACCGCGCCCGGGGCAGGCUGGGGCGAAGGGGCGGCCGCGGAGGCUUCUCAGAGCCCCGGCAUCGUCGUGGCUCCUCUGGACGGCGAGGCGGGGGCCACCCCGCACCCACCGACCCGGGGGGCUCUCCCGAACGCCCCUGCGCUCACAGCGCGCUCCGGCAGCCGGGGAAGCGCCCAGGCAUCCCUUAUUUCCUCGAGAUGUCUGCGGGCACUUCAUUUUGCGAAAAGAGGCUCCUGCUAGGAAGUUUCGAGCUGACUCAGCACAAAAAGGCCACUGCACGCGCGGGAGCUGCCGGGAGCCGCCGCCUGGUGUCACACCGGCCGCUCUCCUGCCCGCCCGCGGCCCGGGGACGGGUGCUGGGGGGGGUCCGGCCCAGGCCCCCCGCCGCUCGCCCCACGGGGCCGGGCGGUCGCGGCACCGCUGGCUCCUGCCACCCCGCACGCCGUGCAGCCCUGCCAGCACCGAGCACCAAUCCCGUGGUGACACCGUCUACGUCACACAAAGGGAAGAAAUAAAGAAAGAGGAACUGAGCGAAGAGGAAAAUUUCAUUUGCCCACAGGAACAUUUCCACUUUUCUCACACGGUCAAGGGACAAGACACCCCUUAG
rnacentral:lncRNA from 1 species